UGGGGAAUAUUGGACAAUGGGCGCAAGCCUGAUCCAGCCAUGCCGCGUGAGUGAUGAAGGCCCUAGGGUUGUAAAGCUCUUUCACCGGUGAAGAUAAUGACGGUAACCGGAGAAGAAGCCCCGGCUAACUUCGUGCCAGCAGCCGCGGUAAUACGAAGGGGGCUAGCGUUGUUCGGAUUUACUGGGCGUAAAGCGCACGUAGGCGGACUUUUAAGUCAGGGGUGAAAUCCCGGGGCUCAACCCCGGAACUGCCUUUGAUACUGGAAGUCUUGAGUAUGGUAGAGGGGAGUGGAAUUCCGAGUGUAGAGGGGAAAUUCGUAGAUAUUCGGAGGAACACCAGUGGCGAAGGCGGCUCACUGGACCAUUACUGACGCUGAGGUGCGAAAGCGUGGGGAGCAAACAGG
rnacentral:rRNA from 1 species